ACAGGAUGGCAGAAGCAGCAGCAAUGCAGGCUUCACCCUGCUGCCCUGCCAAUGUGCCUCACGCCUGACCUGGAGGAACCUCAGC
rnacentral:sRNA from 1 species